UACGGAGGUGGCGAGCGUUGUCCGGAAUCAUUGGGCGUAAAGCGCACGUAGGCGGCUUGCCAAGUCGGACGUGAAAUCCCUCAGCUCAACUGAGGACGUGCAUCCGAAACUGGCGAGCUUGAGUACUGAAGAGGAUCGCGGAAUUCCCGGUGUAGAGGUGAAAUUCGUAGAUAUCGGGAGGAAUACCUAUGGCGAAAGCAGGUUUCUGGGCCAUCACUGACGCUGAGCUGCGAAAGCUAGGGGAGCAAACAGG
rnacentral:rRNA from 1 species